CUACCAACCUAGAUAAUCGCCCCAUUGACCUUUGGGUUAGUGAGGGAGGAAAGUCCGCACUUCGUAAAUGGUACCAGUGAAAACUGGGUAGGCGUGAGCUUACGGUACAGAGCAACAGAGAGGAAACCGUCUCAUUUCGAUGGGAUAAGGAUGAAAGGGUGUGGUAAGAGCACACCGCCUUAUAAAGUAAUUUAUAGGGGCGAGGUAAUCCCUACCUGAAGCAAUCCCGCAAUAUGGGAGCAUAGAUAAAUGAUUAUCUUAAUUCUGCAAAGCAGAAGGAUACAGAAAGUGGCUUAUUGGUUGGUUUUUUG
rnacentral:RNase_P_RNA from 1 species